CCUUCGGGUUGUAAAGCUCUUUUAGCCGGGAAGAAAAGGCUUGGGCUAAUACCCUGAGUUUUUGACGGUACCGGCGGAAUAAGCACCGGCUAACUACGUGCCAGCAGCCGCGGUAAUACGUAGGGUGCGAGCGUUAAUCGGAAUUACUGGGCGUAAAGCGUGCGCCGGCGGUUCGUUGUGUCGGUGGUGAAAGCCCCGGGCUUAACCUGGGAAUGGCCAUGGAAACUGGCGAACUGGAGUGUGGCAGAGGGGGGUGGAAUUUCGCGUGUAGCAGUGAAAUGCGUAGAGAUGCGGAGGAACACCGAUGGCGAAGGCAGCCCCCUGGGCUAGCACUGACGCUCAGGCACGAAAGCGUGGGGAGCAAACAGGAUUAGAUACCCUGGUAGUCCACGCCCUAAACUAUGUCAACUGGGUGUUCGGGAAGCGAUUUCUGAGUACCGUAGCUAACGCGUGAAGUUGACCA
rnacentral:rRNA from 1 species